rnacentral:rRNA from 1 species
UUGGAGGGCAAGUCUGGUGCCAGCAGCCGCGGUAAUUCCAGCUCCAAUAGCGUAUAUUAAAGUUGUUGCAGUUAAAAAGCUCGUAGUUGAAUUUCGAGACCGGCUUACUGGUCGUGCUAUUGUGCGUACUGGUAUAAUCGGUUUCUCCUUUCUGACGAACUAUAAUGCCAUUAAUUUGGUGUUAUAGGGAAUCAGGACUGUUACUUUGAAAAAAUUAGAGUGUUUAAAGCAGGCUCACGCUUGAAUACAUUAGCAUGGAAUAACGGAAUAGGACGUUUGAUUCUAUUUUGUUGGUUUCUAGGAUCGACGUAAUGAUUAAUAGGGAUAGUUGGGGGCAUUAGUUUUCAAUUGUCAGAGGUGAAAUUCUUGGAUUUAUUGAAGACUGACUACUGCGAAAGCAUUUGCCAAGGAUGUCUUCAUUAAUCAAGAACGAAAGUUAGGGGAUCGAAGACGAUCAGAUACCGUCGUAGUCUUAACCAUAAACUAUGCCGACUAGGGAUCGGAUGAUGUUAAUUUUUUAAUGACUCAUUCGGCGCCUUACGGGAAAC